rnacentral:misc_RNA from 1 species
GGAUGAAGAACGUAGCGAAAUGCGAUAAGUAGUGUGAAUUGCAGAAUUCAGUGAAUCAUCGAAUCUUUGAACGCACAUUGCGCCCUCUGGUAUUCCGGAGGGCAUGCCUGUUCGAGCGUCAUUAAAACUACUCAAGCUAAGGUUUUACCUUCUGCUUGGUCUUGGGUUUGAGGAUUCAAAAUCCUCUCUCCGAAAUCCAGUGGCGAAUUGUUUGAGCUGUAGACGUAGUAAAUCAUUCUACCCGUUGCAAGCGAGAAUAAUAUUCAGCCAUAACCCCCAUACUUUUCUAGUUUGACCUCGGAUCAGGUAGGGAUACCCGCUGAACUUAAGCAUAUCAAUAAGCGGAGGA